rnacentral:rRNA from 1 species
CCUUGGGACUGGCUCAGAGAGGUCGGCAACGACCACUCAGAGCCGGAAACUUGGUCAAACUUGGUCAUUUAGAGGAAGUAAAAGUCGUAACAAGGUCUCCGUAGGUGAACCUGCGGAGGGAUCAUUAUCGAGUUAGGGUCUUUUAUAGGCCCGACCUCCAACCCUGUGUCUACCUAACCUCACGUUGCUUCGGCGGGCCCGUCCCCUGAUAAACAGGGGCAACCGCCGGUGGCCACCAAACCAAAUACUUGUUGAACCGUGGCGUCUGAGUGGAAAGAAUUAAUAACUAAAAAACUUUCAACAACGGAUCUCUUGGUUCUGGCAUCGAUGAAGAACGCGGCGAAAUGCGAUAAGUAAUGCGAAUUGCAGAAUCCGUGAGUCAUCGAAUCUUUGAACGCAUAUUGCGCCCUUUGGUAUUCCGAAGGGCAUGCCUGUUCGAGCGUCAUUAUCACCCCUCGAGCCCCCCGGCUUGGUGUUGGGUCUUCGUUGUACACCACCUACAACGGGCCUUAAAGACAGUGGCGGCGUCCCAGAGGGAACCGGUACGAGGAGCUUCUAAUCAAGCAUGUACGCGGGAAGACUCUUGCGGACGACGGGUCUUUUGCUAAAAACUUUUUUCAAGUGUUGACCUCGGAUCAGGUAGGAAUACCCGCUGAACUUAAGCAUAUCAAUAAGCGGAGGAAAAGAAACCAACAGGGAUUGCCCCAGUAACGGCGAGUGAAGCGGCAACAGCUCAAAUUUGAAAUCUGGCUUCUGUGGAGCCCGAGUUGUAAUUUGUAGAGGAUGUUUCGGGUACCGCGACGGCUUAAAUUUCUUGGAACAGAAUG